rnacentral:rRNA from 1 species
UUAAAGUAGUAAGGGCGCAGGGUGGAUGCCUUGGCACUAAGAGCCGAUGAAAGACGUGAUAAGCUGCGAAAAGCUUCGGGGAGGAGCAAAUAUCCUAUGAUCCGGAGAUAUCUGAAUGGGGAAACCCGGCGGAGCAACCCUCCGUCAUCUUAACGCGAAUCCAUAACGUUAAGAAGGGAACCCGGUGAACUGAAACAUCUAAGUAGCCGGAGGAAGAGAAAGAAACAUCGAUUCUGUGAGUAGCGGCGAGCGAAAGCGGAAGAGCCCAAACCGAUCUGCGUGCAGGUCGGGGUUCGGACUGCAAAAUUGACGAGCGAGUCUAAUGGAAAGGUUUUGGGAAAGCCUGCCAGAGAGGGUGAAAGCCCCGUACAUGAAAGACGAGUGAGCAUGGCAGUAUCCAGAGUACCACGAGACACGAGAAACCUUGUGGGAAUGAGCGGGGACCACCCCGUAAGGCUAAAUACUCCUUAGUGACCGAUAGCGCAUAGUACUGUGAAGGAAAGGUGAAAAGGACCCCGGGAGGGGAGUGAAAGAGAACCUGAAACCCUGUGUUUACAAGCUGUCGAAGCACGCAAGUGCGACGGCGUACUUUUUGUAGAACGGUCCGGCGAGUUAUGAUGAGUGGUAAGGUUAAGGACUUAAGGUCCGGAGCCGAAGCGAAAGCGAGUGUUAAAAGCACGGUUGAAUCGCUUAUCAUAGACCCGAAACCGGGUGAUCUAUCCAUGUCCAGGUUGAAGCUGCCGUAAGAGGUAGUGGAGGACCGAACCCACAUCCGUUGAAAAGGGUGGGGAUGAGGUGUGGAUAGGGGAGAAAUUCCAAUCGAACCCGGAGAUAGCUGGUUCUCCUCGAAAUAGCUUUAGGGCUAGCCUCAUAUUAGUUUAGCGGAGGUAGAGCACUGAAUUCCUAAGGGGGCGUCAAAGCUUACCAAGGGAUAUCAAACUCCGAAUGCCGUAUAAAUGAUGUAUGGGAGUCAGACUGCACGAGAUAAGUUGGGUAGUCAAAAGGGAAAGAGCCCAGACCUACAGCUAAGGUCCCAAAGUGUGUGUUAAGUGGAAAAGGAUGUGGGAUUUCGAAGACAACUAGGAUGUUGGCUCAGAAGCAGCCAUACAUUCAAAGAGUGCGUAAUAGCUCACUAGUCGAGAGGUCCUGCGCCGAAAAUGUCCGGGGCUGAAACACAACACCGAAGCUUAGGAAUGUAUGUAAGUACAUUGGUAGAGGAGCAUUCUUAAAGGGGUGAAGCAGUACCGAUAAGGAGCUGUGGACUUUUAAGAAGAGAGAAUGCCGGAAUGAGUAGCGAGAUGGAGGUGGGAAUCCUCCAGGCCGAAUAUCUAAGGUUUCCAGAGUAAAGCUGAUCUGCUCUGGGUAAGUCGGGGCCUAAGGCGAGGUCGAAAGACGUAGUCGAUGGAUAACAGGUUGAAAUUCCUGUACUAUGAUAUGACAGAACUGUGGGGACACGUGUGGAAAGCGGAAGCCGGGAAUGGAAAGACCGGUGCAAGCAAGGUAGGAGACUGGUUGGCAAAUCCGCCAGUCAAUCUGAAGAUGUGAUGCGUACUGAAAUAUAAGUAGGGAAGUCCGUGAGCCAUGCGUCAAGAAAAGCCGCUAUUGUUCAUAUCGUACCCGUACCGUAAACCGACACAGGUGGAUGAGGAGAGAAUCCUAAGGCCGACGGGAGAAGCAUUGUUAAGGAACUCGGCAAAAUGACUCCGUAACUUCGGGAGAAGGAGUGCCAUGAGAGUGGCCGCAGAGAAAUGGCCCAAGCAACUGUUUAGCAAAAACACAGGUCUAUGCAAAACCGAAAGGUGAAGUAUAUGGGCUGACGCCUGCCCGGUGCUGGAAGGUUAAGGGGAGAGGUUAGCGCAAGCGAAGCUUUGAACUUAAGCCCCAGUAAACGGCGGCCGUAACUAUAACGGUCCUAAGGUAGCGAAAUUCCUUGUCGGGUAAGUUCCGACCCGCACGAAAGGCGUAAUGAUUUGGGCACUGUCUCAACGAUACACCCGGUGAAAUUGAAAUACCAGUGAAGAUGCUGGUUACCUGCGCCAGGACGG